rnacentral:miRNA from 1 species
UACACCUCAUCAAUCGGAAGGAAUCCCUUCCGGUUGAUGAGGUUGUUACACCUCAUCAAUUGGAAGGAAUCCCUUCCGGUCCUCAUCGAUCAGAAGGGAUUCCUUCCAAUCGAUGAGGUGUAACAACCUCAUCGACCAGAAGGGAUUCCUUCUGGUCGAUGAGGUGUA